CUGUGAACAGGCUCGGUGAAUUUGAGCCAACUCGCUAAACGAACCGAAUCAGACAGCUCACCGUUAUUGUGUUUUACUAGAGCGGAGGAUCGUGUGUAUCACAGAGAGGCUGGAUUCUCGUUCAUCUGUGUUUGUACAUGGUGAAUUUCAUUUGUUAGCUUCAGUCCUGCUCUGCCAAAUCUCACAUCAUGUCGGGUGCCUA
ensembl:lncRNA